rnacentral:rRNA from 1 species
UGGGGAAUUUUGGACAAUGGGGGCAACCCUGAUCCAGCAAUGCCGCGUGUGUGAAGAAGGCCUUCGGGUUGUAAAGCACUUUUGGCGGGAGCGAAAGGGCCUGGGCUAAUACCCUGGGUUGAUGACGGUACCCGCAGAAUAAGCACCGGCUAACUACGUGCCAGCAGCCGCGGUAAUACGUAGGGUGCAAGCGUUAAUCGGAAUUACUGGGCGUAAAGCGAGCGCAGGCGGUUGUGUAAGACAGAUGUGAAAUCCCCGGGCUUAACCUGGGAACUGCAUUUGUGACUGCACGGCUAGAGUGCGUCAGAGGGGGGUGGAACUCCACGUGUAGCAGUGAAAUGCGUAGAGAUGUGGAAGAACACCGAUGGCGAAGGCAGCCCCCUGGGAUGACACUGACGCU